AUUCUGAGCAGCGUGGAAGGAGUUUUUGCCGAAGACCCCCAUGCCAGCUGCUUAAAAAACCCAAGCUGGCAGCACCGGGUCCCAGUAGCACGUUAUAUUUUGAAGAGUGGAGGUGAGGCCCCCCCUUCUUCCCCGGCUGGGGCCUAGUGCACAGCAGGUGUGAGUGAGUCCUUCGGAUCACCAUGCAACAUAGGCAUGGGAUGCAGAGGACACUUGCUGAGUAGCGGAAGCAGUGCACAGCUGACAGCUUUGGAGAAGUCAUGACUGAAGGCUCCCUGAAGGGGCUAUCAAGUGACCCGUUAAGGGGAACAGCCUCAGAAAUCCAGGCAACUGGCAGCAGGUCAACAUGGCCUGUUAGCAUAAGCUGAUGGUCACUAAGCACCAGCAUCUGUCAACGCACGCACCACCACUUCCAACCACUCUAACUUUCUUGUGACAAAUAUGUACUCUCACUCUCUCUCUCUCUCUUUCACAGACACACACACACUCAGACAAGCACUCACAGACAGGCACAUGUACUGAUACGCACAUAUUUACCACUUAAUGGACACAAUCUUUAGCUUGUGAAAUUGCCCCAGACUAGAUUCUGUGGUCUUUUGUUUGCACUUUUAUAACCUGUCCCUCAGUGUUGCAGAGGGGUAUUUACAGGCAGUUAAACAGGUACGUAUGAGAACUGGCUCUGAAUCAGAAUCCCACCUCUGACCCCACUGGUUCUGAGCUUACAGUUGAAUCAGAACAGCCCAAAGGCUGGGAAAGGCUUAUCCAGUUCUGGGCCCUGGGCUUUUGUUCCAGUCCAGCUCUCGUCUAUACACGAUGUGAAAUACCUGUGUGGAGAGGUGUCGAGUAUUGCAGUGUAGUAGUGUUAUACACAGGUAAGAACUGGGGAUGUGGUGUAGGAUGAUUCUAGCUAAUACACACAGUUAGCUGGAAUGGCAUAGUGUCCCUAAGCCAGUUUUUGGUGCAGGAUUGUUAGGUACUAAUAGUUCCAUGGAGCUAGUGUAAAUGUUGUAUAGAAGGGGCAGUUAAUGGGGCUGUAGUGCAGUAUGUACUCUCACACUCAGGUAAGUCUGCACGGUUAGUUAUUCACUAUAUAAGGGGAAAGCUGGCCUCUUUCUGUACAGAAUACAGGAGAGGGUAGCUUCAGCUUAAGGUCUUUAUUUGUGUGUUUUCUUUGGUGCUGUGAUAGCUCAUCACCUAAAACUCCAUCCUCCCCAAACCGGCCUCAGACCUGCCUACUCUGAGCUGGGAUCUGUCCCCAUCUGCUAUUUGCCUACUGUUGUUUGGCUGCAUUGUCACUGGCGGGUUUGCUCUAGUGAGUUGACACAUUCCCUCACUGCUGUUGCUCAUGUUCUGAGUAAAAAAUGCCUUUCUCUGCAGAUCGGGAGGGUGCAUCCCUCACAACGGGCCAGGCCAGGUUCGUAUCACAGCACAGAGCAAAGGUUUGCUGUGUGGCUCGGCCCCAGAAGAGGAUGGUCUCUCCAUCUGGAGCUGGCUGAUUGCCUGGCGGUAGGAGACUCCUGGGAUCUCUUUGCAUCAGCAUCCUCUCCAUGCUAGCCAGGAGGAAAGAGAUAGUGGGUGAGCAUUUUGAAAGUUGGCUGCCUUGUUAUCAUCCUCUAGGUUCUCCAGGGAGUCCGUGUGCCAUUUUCCUUUCAUGUGCUGAGCCAUCUCUCUCAGCUAGUCCUUUAGUGAGUGCCUCCUGUCUCUCUGACAGACAGCAGAUUGAUUUCCAAUCAUGGCUGCAGCUUGCUGCUCACUUGCCCAACCAGUUCUGGGCCUGGAGAUAAUGCCGCAGCUGGAAAUAUUUCUAACCCACUGAUCUUUCAGGGCUGUGCUUUCAGGUAGCUUGUUCAAACCACUUCAAGGCUGAAACCUGAAAGAGCUGAUGUGGUAAGCCAGUCUGCUCUGCUCCUGUCUAGCCCUGGUGACUGCAGAGAAGCCAGGGGCAAAGCUUGCAGCUUGCAAUAGGAGAAAUGUACCCUGGCCAGGACAGGGUGAAGGUGUUGUGUUAAGAGGGUUUCUCCCAUUUGUGUGAUGAUCUCUGUGAUGUCUAGAAAGGUAUUGAUUUCUGUGGCGCAGCUGGAAAGGCUGAUCUGAGCCUGUGCGUUUGAUACCUGGUGUAUGGGCUGUGAUAGGUGGGCUGCCUGCAAAUAGCUGGGGAAGGCUGGGAGAGCUACUUUCUCAGCUGUUUUUCUGAUUCUGCACAAGCCUGGCUUUAAU